rnacentral:lncRNA from 8 species
GUUGGAUCACCUGCACCGAGCCCAGCCUCACCCUGCCGGGGUCGCUGUGGGUUAACACUGAGAUCUGGGACCAGAUACUAGACACACAACAGGAAGAGGAGGAGGAGGAAGAGGAGGAAGAGUGGAAGGAAUCUAACAGACAGACACAGACCACUACACCGUACACAUGGUCUCCAUCAAGGCAUUGUGGCCUGAGGCUCAAACUACAGAAUUUCCUGAGGAGGAUGAAGCACAAUGUACUGUAAACCGAGAAGACGAAGAGCAGAGAUAAAGAAGACUGGAUGUUACCAUUUCAGAGUAGGAGAUACUCAUUGAGUAAUGAAGCUAAUUCACUAAACAGGACCGACCGGGGAUUUUCAAUAAUGACGCAAGAUUGAACAAAUUAUUAAUAUUCUUUGGGUUUGAUUGACUUUGGGUAUGUGUAAUGUUCUCAGUCAACUUACCUGGUAAAAUAAGGGUUAAAUAAUAAUGAAGGAUGGAUAGAUAGAUAGAUAGAUAGAUAGAUAGAUAGAUAGAUAGAUAGAUAGAUAGAUAGAUAGAUAGAUAGAUAGAUAGAUAGAUAGAUAGAUAGAUAGAUAGAUAGAUAGAUAGAUAGAUAGAUAGAUAGAUAGAUAGAUAGAUAGAUAGAUAGAUAGAUAGAUAGAUAGAUAGAUAGAUAGAUAGAUAGAUAGAUAGAUAGACGGGUGAAGGUUAGAGACUGUGUGCUGUGUACAAUACAAUAUACUGUGAACAAUGUUUAUAAUAGAUGUUUAAUCAUUUGAUAAAAGGUGUAUUACUGCGUGAAGGGAAGUGGAUGUUUAGUAUUUAUUAUUACAUCAUUUUAUAACAGCUUUAAUAUUGCAGAUUGAUUGUUGCUUUUAUCAAUGUAAUUGUCUGCAUCAUUUCCAAUCCCCCAUAUAAGGGAAGGUGGAUUUGUUUAUCCUCAUUUUACAUGUUUUAUUUAUCUGUUCUGUUUAAAGAGCAUGUUUUUUUAUAUUGGGAUUAUAUUUAUUGGUAAAUAAAUACAUCCACUUUAAAAUAACCCUGUCUUAGAGUUGUGAAAUUGCUUAUUAUUAUCACUACAUUAGGAAAGUAAC